rnacentral:rRNA from 1 species
AGGUUAACCGUAUAGGGGAGCCGUAGGGAAACCGAGUCUUAACUGGGCGAAUGAGUUGCAGGGUAUAGACCCGAAACCCGGUGAUCUAUCCAUGGGCAGGUUGAAGGUUGGGUAACACUAACUGGAGGACCGAACCGACUAAUGUUGAAAAAUUAGCGGAUGACUUGUGGAUGGGGGUGAAAGGCCAAUCAAACCGGGAGAUAGCUGGUUCUCCCCGAAAGCUAUUUAGGUAGCGCCUCGUGAACUCAUCUUCGGGGGUAGAGCACUGUUUCGACUAGGGGGUCAUCCCGACUUACCAACUCGAUGCAAACUGCGAAUACCGAAGAAUGUUAUCACGGGAGACACACGGCGGGUGCUAACGUCCGUCGUGAAGAGGGAAACAACCCAGACCGCCAGCUAAGGUCCCAAAGUCAUGGUUAAGUGGGAAACGAAGUGGGAAGGCUCAGACAGCCAGGAUGUUGGCUUAGAAGCAGCCAUCAUUUAAAGAAAGCGUAAUAGCUCACUGGUCGAGUCGGCCCGCGCGGAAGAUGUAACGGGGCUAAACCAUGCACCGAAGCUGCGGCAGCGACACAAAGUGUUGUUGGGUAGGGGAGCGUUCUGUAAGCCUGCGAAGGUGUACUGUGAGGUAUGCUGGAGGUAUCAGAAGUGCGAAUGCUGACAUAAGUAACGAUAAUGCGGGUGAAAAACCCGCACGCCGGAAGACCAAGGGUUCCUGUCCAACGUUAAUCGGGGCAGGGUGAGUCGACCCCUAAGGCGAGGCUGAAAAGCGUAGUCGAUGGGAAACGGGUUAAUAUUCCCGUACUGGUGGUAACUGCGAUGGGGGAACGGAGAAGGCUAGGUUGUCCGGGCGACGGUCGUCCCGGUUCAAGCAGGUAGGCAGAGUGAUUAGGCAAAUCCGGUCACUUAAUGCUGAGAUGUGAUGACGAACCACCAAGGUGGUGAAGCAAUUGAUGCCCCGCUUCCAGGAAAAGCCUCUAAGCUUCAGGUUACCAACAAUCGUACCCCAAACCGACACAGGUGGUCAGGUAGAGAAUACUCAGGCGCUUGAGAGAACUCGGGUGAAGGAACUAGGCAAAAUGGUGCCGUAACUUCGGGAGAAGGCACGCUGGCGGUAGGUAAAGUCCCUCGCGGACGGCGCUGAAGCCAGUCGAAGAUACCAGCUGGCUGCAACUGUUUAUUAAAAACACAGCACUGUGCAAACACGAAAGUGGACGUAUACGGUGUGACGCCUGCCCGGUGCUGGAAGGUUAAUUGAUGGGGU